rnacentral:rRNA from 1 species
UAGAGUUUGAUCCUGGCUCAGGAUGAACGCUAGCUACAGGCUUAACACAUGCAAGUCGAGGGGCAUCAUUAUCGAAGCUUGCUUUGAUAGAUGGCGACCGGCGCACGGGUGAGUAACGCGUAUCCAACCUUCCCCUUAGUAGAGGAUAGCCCGGCGAAAGUCGGAUUAAUACUCUAUGUUGUAUUUUGAGGACAUCUGACGAAUACCAAAGAUUUAUCGCUAAGGGAUGGGGAUGCGUCUGAUUAGCUUGUCGGCGGGGUAACGGCCCACCGAGGCGACGAUCAGUAGGGGUUCUGAGAGGAAGGUCCCCCACAUUGGUACUGAGACACGGACCAAACUCCUACGGGAGGCAGCAGUGAGGAAUAUUGGUCAAUGGGCGUAGGCCUGAACCAGCCAAGUAGCGUGCAGGAAGACUGCCCUAUGGGUUGUAAACUGCUUUUAUGCGGGAAUAAAGUCAGGUACGUGUACCUGUUUGCAUGUACCGCAUGAAUAAGGACCGGCUAAUUCCGUGCCAGCAGCCGCGGUAAUACGGAAGGUCCGGGCGUUAUCCGGAUUUAUUGGGUUUAAAGGGAGCGCAGGCGGAGGAUUAAGCGUGACGUGAAAUGUCCCGGCUCAACCGUGGAACUGCGUCGCGAACUGGUUUUCUUGAGUGAGUGCGACGUCGGCGGAAUUCGUGGUGUAGCGGUGAAAUGCUUAGAUAUCACGAAGAACCCCGAUUGCGAAGGCAGCCGACGAGUCCUUAACUGACGCUAAAGCUCGAAAGUGCGGGUAUCGAACAGGAUUAGAUACCCUGGUAGUCCGCACGGUAAA